CGUCUCCUUUUUCCCUACUCUCACCACUAGCAAUCUUGCAGAGAAAAAUGUGCCGAAGAGACCCUUUUUGCUCCGCUGAGGUACUCCUGGAUUAUAAUCAUUCUCCACCUUCUUUUAGCACUCUACACCUGUGUGUGAACACUCCCACAAAGAAUGACAACAGAGGACAGAAGUCUAGAAGCCAGCAAGGGAAUGCUCCAUCUGGUCUCCCGUCUUCAGUCUACUGGGAAGAUGGACAGGCAAAAAUCGGUUUUGCUUCAUAGGUAUCUUUCUGCCUUGAUUUCCUAAGGGGCAUUUGGAGCUUUUUUAUGCUGAUUCAUUCUUACACUGGCAGUACAUAUUCUGAUUUUGUGGUUGAGGAAGUUGCUUCUUUCUGGUUUCUGCCAUGCAGACCUAUUUCUGACUUUUCUUAAUAGUCUCAGACAGUUUGUUAAAAAACAUUAAAAAAAAAAUCACAACUACUUUUGUCACCUCCCUUGGUUACUAUGUAUGUACCUAAAAAUAUAGUUGCCAUAACUUUGCAAUUGGUGUAAUGAAAAGAACAGAAAGAAUUAAUCUACAACCAGAAAAGCCUCAAUUACCUGAAAUUCCAGACAAUACAGGUUUGCCAUGCUGUGCCUACUGGAAACAGGUGGGAUAAUUUCAAACUGCAGUUUGUGAAAUCCAGAAGGGUUUGCAAGGGUAUUUUCUGUUUGUUUUAACAAAGCUCUCUCUGGAAAGUUUUCCAGUCUGGAUGGGUAAGGGGAAUAAACAACAAAACAUUGGUGAUAUCUGUAAAACCUGGAAUUUAACUAGUCUGGUGCAGUUUGAGAGGAAAUGCUAAUUUAAAUAAAUGUAUACAGUUAUCAGAAAAAGGAUGCUUCACUACAAGGCCACUCUGAAAAAAUUUUUAUCCUCAACUUCAGCUCACCCUCACUUGCCUCUGGUACGCUGCCUGCGUUUGACAACUGUGUCCACCUUUUUCCAAGGGUAAACAAAGCUAACAGCACUAACACUUGCUUGCCAUUGAAGUUAAGCUUCUUAAUUGUAAGAAUUAUUUGCAAUGCAAUGUUCAUUUGUAAUGCUUUGCUUAACUUACGUUAGCAAAUGCAGACACUUUUUGCUUGAUAAUCGGCUAACCUAUGUAACAUACUUUUAUAGAAGUAUGUGCUGACCUGUGACAAGCAAUUUGUACCAUUUACUGACCAUACUCACUUGUACAAUAAAUUCUGAGCAUGCUUCUCAUA